CAGGGGCUGCGAAAACCAGUGGAACAGUGAAGGCCAGAGAGUGGGAAAACAACAGUCUUGCAUCCCUGAAGCCAGUGUGUUUUGGGAAAGCUGAGGAAGCUCUGGAAAGCUGGCUUGGACUGGUACAAAGAGCACAGGGGACAGAGGUCCCUGAACAAAACACCCCCAAAAGACCCCAGGACUUAAAACCCUCCAGAGAGCUAAAGCAAAUAGGAGAUCAACAGCAGACCCUGGACAACCUGUGCACAGGACAGAACUCUCGUCCACCCUUCCCCCUCUUCUUCUGACGUUACACCCAGGGUUGGCCAGCCUCGGGUCAUGCGUGUAUAUAAAUAAAGCUUGGGAAAAAAUGUGACAUGUGGAUGAAGGAGGAAAAAUAACAGAUCCAGACACCCUGGUACCACUCAGUGGCCAUAGAUGCCAAACACAACAAAUAUGUUUUACAACAAGCCUGAAGCACCAACCACCUUUCUCAUGAAAGCUAUAUGAGAUCUGUAAGAUUUCAAUCCAGAGAGGGGAUGAGCACUUUCUGCUAAGAACUGAAAACCUAUAACUUGCUCUGAAGUGAGCAGGAGUGGAGGACACUCAUUCAGAACCUGAGAAGUGUCAACACCUUUCCUGAGGGAGCUCUUUGUUAAGCACUUCCUGCAACUGUUUCUGAACAUAGCCUUGUCCAGACAGUCAUAUAUGUUAGUCAUACAUGACAAUUCCAUGGUUUGUAGACCACUUCUUUGUCUUUUCUG